GGCUCCAGAGUGUAGUGGCUAGCAGGUCUGUUUUACAUGCAGAAGGUCCUGGGUUUGCGCCCCAAGUGGAGCCA
rfam:Pteropus alecto contig86282, whole genome shotgun sequence.